UACGGGGGGGAGCAAGCGUUGUUCGGAUUUACUGGGCGUAAAGGGCGCGUAGGCGGCGCAACAAGUCACUUGUGAAAUCUCCGGGCUUAACCCGGAGCGGUCAAGUGAUACUGUCGUGCUAGAGUGCGGAAGGGGCUACUGGAAUUCUCGGUGUAGCGGUGAAAUGCGUAGAUAUCGAGAGGAACACCUGCGGCGAAGGCGGGUAGCUGGGCCGACACUGACGCUGAUGCGCGAAAGCCCAGGGGGAGCGAACAGG
rnacentral:rRNA from 1 species